CGGAGGAGCUUGGUGGGCUACAGUCCACAGGUCGCAAAGAGUCGGACACGACUGAGCGACUUCACUUGAGCACAUGGGGUCAAUAGUGCCCCAACCACGGACUGAAGCCAUGCCCGCAUUGGAAGCAUGGAAUCUUAACCAUGGACUGCCAGGAAAGUCUGGAUGAAAUAUCUAGAACAGCCAAAACAAUUUUGAGAAACAAGAACAAAGAGUACAUUUUCUUCCCUAUGUCAGAAUUUAACUAUACAGUUUUUAAGACAGUGUCGUUUGGGCGUAAGGAUGAACAUAUAGAUCAGUGAACAAAAUUGAGAGUCCAGAAAUAAAUCCUUCUAUUUAUAGUCAACAAAAGUAGCGAGGCAAUUCAUUAAGGGAAGAAUUGUUCAACAGAUGGUGUUGGGAAAGUGAUGUCCAAGUGCAAAAGGGUGAACUGAGGUGCUUAACCUUAUCAUACUAAAAAUUCAGUAACAAUGGAUCAAACAAACUUUAAAAAGAAAACAACUCCUUUGAGAAUGGGUUAGGCCAAGAUUUUGUAAAUAACACCAGAAGAAUGGUACAUAAAAUUUUUAAGUUGAUAAACAGCCUCAUUAGAAUUCAAAACUUUAAUGCUUCAAAGGACAGAAUUAAACCAGAAGAUUGCAUCACAUAUCUAAUAAGGGACUUGUAUCCAGAUUUUAAAAGAACUCUUACCACUCAGUAAGACAACCCAGUUAGAACAUGGGUGGAGGAUGUGAAUAGACAUUUCACUAAAGAAGAUACACAAAUAGCUAAUAAGUAUGUGAAAAGAUCAACAUCAUUAGUCAUUAGGGAAAUGCAAACUAAUGCACAAUUGAGUUUUCACACUCAUCAGAAAAAGUGUAAUGAUUUCCUUAUUUAUUCACAAAUAACAAAUAUUGGUGAGAAUGCAGAGAAAUUGGAGCCCUCAUAUAUUGCUAUCAGUUAAUUUUAAAAGGUGCAGCCACUUGGGAAAACUUGACAACUUCAUAAACAUAAAUUAACUAUGCCCCAACAAUUCCAUUCAUUGAUACCUUCCCAAGAGAAAAUACAUGUUCACACCAAGACAUGCAUGCAAAUGUUCAUUCAUUAUAGCCCAAACCUGGAAACAUUCUAAAUGUCCGUUAACUGCUCAGUGGAUAGACAAAAAUGUUAUAGAGUGGUAAACCACCACUAAUAAAAAAGUUAACUGAAACAUAACAACAUGGAUGAACUUCAAAACAUGCUAAUGAAAGAAGCCAGACAUGAGACACUACACGUAUUUCAUUUCUAGGAGAUGCCGAAAAAAGGCAAACUUAUGAAGACAGAAGUAGAUUAGUGGUUGCCUAGCCAGUAGAAAUGGGAACUAACUGCAAAUGGUCACAAAGGUACCUGUUAGAAUGAAGAAAAUGUUCUAAAACUGGUUCAUGGUCAUAAUUGCUCCUUUUGGUAAAUUUACAAAAAAACUUUACCCUUGAAACGGGAAAAUUCCGUAUAUAAAAUAUACCUCAAUGAACCUGUUCACAGAAAUAAAACUUGUCCAAUGCAACCAAACCAGGCUCUACAGGAAAUUUAUCAUUAAGUGCUUGUAAUAGAGGAACUCCGGGAGUUGGUGAUGGACAGGGAGGCCUGGCGUGCUGCGAUUCAUGGGGUCACAAAGAGUCGGACACGACUGAAGGACUGAACUGAACUGAAUAGAGGAACAGCUAAAAAUUAAUUGAGCUGUGUUUACUAUUCCAUAAAAGAAGAUUAAGAGAAAAUAUUAAAUUUUUUUAAAUUAAGAGCAAAUAUCAAAAGACUCAAAAUAUCAACAGAAUGAAAGUACUUCAAAAGAUAAAAUGAAGGAAAGCAUUCAGGGAGCACCAAAAAACCCAUGAAUUUUCAAAAAAGUGAUUAAAACAUUUAGAUGGUAGUAUGAAUAAUACUUGCCAAUAACUUGGUUGGAUGGCAUCACUGACUCAAUGGACAUGAAUUUGAGGAAGCAUGGAGAUAGUGAUGGACAGAGAAGCCUGGUGUGCUGCAGUUCAUGGGCUCACAAAGAGUCAGACACAACUGAGCGACUGAACAACAACGAUAAAUUUGAAAACACAAGUAAUGAGCAAAUGACUAGGAUAUUUUAACCUUAUGAAACUGCCUCAAGAAUAAAUGAGUCUACACAGACAUAAAGAACAGACUUGUGGCUGCCAAGGGAAAUGGGGAUGGGGGGGUGGGGGAGAGGUGGACUCAUAGUUUGAGACUAGCAGAUGCAAACUAUUAUAUAUAGAAUAGAUAAACAGGUCCUAUUGUAUAUUCAAUAUUCUGUACUAAGCCGUAAUGGAAAAGAAAACAAUGCAACCUGCUUUUACUAUUAAGUCGAAUCACUUAUUUAAACCUUACAAAGAAUACAUGAGGUACCAAAGUUCCUAGUAGCGUUAUUCACAAUAGCCAAAAAGUGGAAAUAACCCAAAUGCCCAUCAGUUGGCAAAAAAAAUAAAAUAUGGCAUAUACAUACAAUGGAAUACUAUUCAACCAUAAAAAGGUCAGGUUCUGAUACAUACUACAACACAGAUGACCCUAAAAGACAUGCUAAGUGCAACAACCAGGCACAAAAAAGCAAAUAUUGUUUUAACUCCACUUAUAUGAGGUACCUGGAAUUGGCAAAUUCAUAAAUACAGAAAGUAGAAUAGAGAUCCCCAGGGACUGGGGAAGAAGGGAAUGGGGAGUUACUUUUCAAUGCCUGGUGUGUUUGGAAUGAUGAAAAAAUUCUGGAAAUAGAUGGUGGCACACCAUGGUGAAUGUACUUAAUGCCACUGAAUUGUACACUUUAAAAUGGCUAAAAUGGUAAAUUCUGUUAUAUAUAUUUUACAACAAUCAAAAAAAAAUUUUUUUAGAAUCAGCUUUUAUAGUCAUACAUGCAGAAGAAAAAGAAGAAAAACACCUGCUAGGCUUUUGAGCAGGACUGCAGUGUCUAUUGCUGGGGGAGAAUAGAUGCUUUCACAUAGAGCCUUCCAGUCAAUGGAGAUGGCACAUGCCCCCUUCAAGUCUUAGUUUCAGCAUCAUACUAUACUAUUUGGUGUAUAAAUCUUGCCAUCUAAUGUUUUUUUGUGUGUGUAUCUUUUUGUCCCUCAACAACCUCAACACUUGGAAUCCUACACAUGUGGGAACCAGGAGAAACUAAAAAUCAUCUAGCUAUCUCCUUCCCCCCACCUUUUCCAGACUGGUUGAUUGUGGUCCAGUUUUCAUUUAUUUGCCAACAGUUUCAAUCUUCUGUCUCCAGCCACAAUUUGUCCUCUGAACUCCAGACUGCUUCUGCAGCCCCUCCUCCAGGAUGCCCCACGGUCCCUGAGUCUGAGCACGUCCAGGACUGGGCUCAGCACCUCCCCGACCUCGUCCUCCAGGCUCCCCUGACCCAGUGAAGCACGUCACCACCAGCCCCUGCUGCCAGGGCCACAGUUUGGAGAGGCCCCUUGCCACCUCCCACAGCCUCCCACCACCUCAAACAUCAAGGCUGGUAGUUUCCACCGCCUAAUUCACAAAAUCUUUCCAAGUUCCCUCUGCCUCCUUGGUUUAACUGUCUCAUAGCUCUCAAUGGACCCCUUGCAAAAGUCUCCUUAUUAAACCCGCAAGUCUGUUCGUUCCUUGUUCCAAUCUGCAGCUAGAAUGACCUUUAGAAAAAUGGUACUUUCUGAUUUAUAAUAUCUCCUUUCCUGACAGCCUUCCAACAGUUCUCCACUUUGAAAAAAAAAUUACUGUUAUUAACACUUACAGAAAAUUUAUGUUCCAGGACCUGUUCUAUGGUCUUUAUACAUAGUUACUCAGUUAAUCCUCAUAACUCUAAACAUUCCCAUUAUACAGAUAAGAAAACUGAGGCUCAGAGAACCACCUCCAAGGCUUUUGCAUCAGCUCUUGCCCCAUCCUGUUUCUUUUAGGCAGCAUACAGUUGGGCACUAAUUUUUUUAAUCCAAUUUAACACUCUGUCUUUAGGAAUAUUGAGAGUAUUUACAUUUAAUUGUGAUUAUCAGUACAGUUAGGUUUAUGUCUGUCAUCUUGCUAUUUGUUUUCUAUUUGUCUCAUACAUUCUUUUUUUCUUAAUUCUUCUGGAUUAAUGGAAUAUUUUUUAUUCCAUUUAUCAUUUUAGUGGCUUAUUAGCUUAUAAUUUUGUUACUCUAACUGGUAGUUUUAGGAUUUGUGGUAUGCUUUUAACUUAAAACAAUGUCUUCAAAUAGUAUUACACCAUGCUACAUACAGAAUUAGAACCUUAUAAUAUUUGUUUACCCUCACCCAAACUUUGUACUAGUCAUACACGUUGCUUUUGCACAUAUUAAAAAUCAUAUAUAAUAUUGCUUUUGUUUAGAUAAGAUUAUUAUUUAAAGAAAUAUAAAUAAUAAUGUUUAAGACUUGUAUAUAUGUAUUUGCUUGUUUAAAUGUAGACUAUUUCCAGGACUUCUCAUAUCUUUGUUUAGGUUCAUAUUUCCCUUUGGUAUAAUUAUUCUUCUACCGUAAAGACUUAACUCAUAGUGCAAGUCUACUGGUGAACAAUUCCUUCAGCUUUUGUAUGUCUUAGAAAGUAUCCCAUGAUUCUUUUUUUUCUGUGGGCUGUGCCUUGCGGCUUGUGGGAUCUUAGUUCCCUAACCCGGGAUCAAACCUGGGCCCUCAGCAGUGAAAGCACCGAGCCCUAACUGCUGGACCACCAGGGAAUUCCCUCAUGAUUCAUUUUCUGAAAGAUAUUUUCACUAGGUAUAGACUUCUAUUACUCAUAGUCUCAGGGCCCAUAGGCCUCAAAUUCCAUUAAAGGUGGACAGGCUGCUGUCCCCUUGUGCUCAGGGUAGGCGCUGGGUGUCAGGUUUUCUGGGGUCCCUGUGCCCCCUCUCAGCUUGCCAGUGUCCCCGCAUACAUGCAUCAGAGAGUCUUUCUCCAGGCUCUGACGCCUUCCCCGGUUGUCCACAGAUGUUGCUUGUGACUCUGGUGCUAAGCUCGUGGUAGGACCAGGUGAGAUGUGUUCUGUCCCAAUUCAGCCUCAAAUCUCAGUCAGGCCCUUCGCACUCUGGCUUCAGGGGUGAGGUUUUCCUGGCAUUCCUGUGGCCGCCAAAUGCUGCCUUGUAACUGCGGUGGUCUGGCGUGGUGGUCCCCCCACCGCCCCCGCCCUCCAAGGAGAGCAAUCACUCGGUAUCUGUACCUGCCCCACCACCAGGAGCACAGACUUCUGACUUCUACCCUCCCCCUGAGGCAACAAGUCUUUGCCCGCGUUCUAGGAGAGGAAGAUGGAUUUUACUUCUGCUGCUUCUCCAGAAAGUACCAUGCCCAGCACGUCAUGACUUGUGCUCUGCAGAGCAGAGGGAGUCCGGGAAGCUAAUGGGACUUUGAGCUUGUUCCUCCACAGCCACCAGUCACCUCCUCCACCAAUCACCUCCUCAGUCCUCCGCAGGAACCAAUCACCUCCUCAAUCCUCCACAGCCACCAAUCACCUUCACAGCCACCAAUCAUCACCUUCACAGCCACCAAUCACCUCCUCGUUUGCAGGGAGGUCAGUACUACACGCUCUCCUCCUCAGGGACGACUGGUGAAAGCGGGUCAGCACUGCACGCUCUCCUCCUCAGGGACGACUGGUGAAGGCGGAGGGCGAAGAGCUCUCAGCCAGUAUCCUUGGAAAUGGAUGUGGAUGGACAACUGAAAAUAGAACCUGUGAUUAGAACAGAUCUUAACAAAUGACUUUACAGUUGUACUCUUGUGCUUUCCUGAGAGUGUUAGCUUCCAUGAUGGCUGAGAUGGUUAAGAAUCUGCCUGUAGUGCAGGAGACUUGGGUUCAAUCCUUGGGUCCAGAAGAUCCCCUGGAUAAGGGAAUGGCAACCCAUCCAGAUUCCUUGUAAGUUUGGCUCAGAAUGCUAGUAUUUAACAAGAAAAGUGAUACUUAAUGAAGCUGAAGUGAUUCUUAAUGAAGACACCAUCUGGAUUCCCUCAAUAUACCACUUCCACCCAAAAAACAAUAUCCCUACUGUAUGCAGAUACAGCUCAGUGAACAGUUAUUAAGUAAUGAACCUUCUUCUUCGUGGGCUGCUCAGCGGGUGGUGAAACGUUGGUUACAGGCUUGGGCAAGUUCCGUCUCUUUGCUGCUUCUCUGUUUGAUGUUUCAAAAGAUGUCUGACUCUCACUGUCAAGCUCCAAAUCUUCAUCACCCUGGUCAAAAGCAAACUCAAUUCAGAAGUGAAGUCACUACCUGGAGCAGUUGUAUCUUAUGUUGCCAUCUUUCACAUUACCUUUCUUACCAACCCUUGACGGUUUCAUGACAUAUUUACCAUUAUGAAAUGGAUACAUACAUUCUGCUUCACUGUCAGAAUCCUGUUUACCCCUACUGGAUCAUCUUCGUUAUGAGAUGAAAGGUACAAUGUAAACAGAAAGCCAAAAAAGAAGUCUUUGGGACAGAAAGCAUCUUACACAAAAAAAUCUACAGCCAGUUCCUCUAAAAAUGAAUUUCUUUAUGAAUAUCCUUUUUUCUCUGAAAUAAAACUUAACA